rnacentral:tRNA from 1 species
GGAGGUUUGGCAGAGUGGUCGAAUGCACCGGUCUUGAAAACCGGCGGGCGUGAAAGCGUCCCCAGGGUUCGAAUCCCUGAGCCUCCG